UGGCCUUGGGACAUACUAAGAACUUUCCAGAGAUGGAUUGGUGCCUUUCGGGAACUUUAGAUACAGGUGCUGCAUGGCUGUCGUCAGCUCGUGUCGUGAGAUGUUGGGUUAAGUCCCGCAACGAGCGCAACCCUUUUUCCUUAUUUGCCAGCGGGUUAAGCCGGGAACUUUAAGGAUACUGCCAGUGACAAACUGGAGGAAGGCGGGGACGACGUCAAGUCAUCAUGGCCCUUACGGCCAGGGCUACACACGUGCUACAAUGGUCGGUACAAAGGGUUGCUACCUCGCGAGAGGAUGCUAAUCUCAAAAAGCCGAUCGUAGUCCGGAUCGCAGUCUGCAACUCGACUGCGUGAAGUCGGAAUCGCUAGUAAUCGCGGAUCAGAAUGCCGCGGUGAAUACGUUCCCGGGCCUUGUACACACCGCCCGUCACACCAUGGGAGUUUGUUGCACCAGAAGUAGGUAGUCUAACCGCAAGGAGGACGCUUACCACGGUGUGGCCGAUGACUGGGGUGAAGUCGUAACAAGGUAAGCGUAGAUGA
rnacentral:rRNA from 1 species